CCUACGGGAGGCAGCAGUGGGGAAUAUUGCGCAAUGGGCGAAAGCCUGACGCAGCGACGCCGCGUGAGGGAUGAAGGUCUUCGGAUCGUAAACCUCUGUCAGCAGGGAAGAACGGUCACUGGGCUAAUCAGCAGUGAAUGGACGGUACCUGCAAAGGAAGCACCGGCUAACUCCGUGCCAGCAGCCGCGGUAAUACGGAGGGUGCGAGCGUUAAGCGGAAUUACUGGGCGGAAAGCGCUCGUAGGCGGUAUGUCCAGGCAAGGGUGAAAGCCCCGCGCUCAACGUGGGAACUGCCUUGGAAACUGGCUGACUUGAGUGUGUGAGCGGCUAGUGGAAUUCCAGGUGU
rnacentral:rRNA from 1 species